rnacentral:rRNA from 1 species
ACUCCUACGGGAGGCAGCAGUGGGGAAUUGUUCGCAAUGGGCGCAAGCCUGACGACGCAACGCCGCGUGGAGGAUGAAGGUCUUCGGAUUGUAAACUCCUGUUGCCUGGGACGAAUGGCUCCAACCUAAUACGUUGGAGUGUGACGGUACCAGGUGAGGAAGCCCCGGCUAACUCUGUGCCAGCAGCCGCGGUAAUACAGAGGGGGCAAGCGUUGUUCGGAAUUACUGGGCGUAAAGGGCGCGUAGGCGGCCUGUUAAGUCGAACGUGAAAUCCCCGGGCUCAACCCGGGAACUGCGUCCGAUACUGGCAGGCUUGAAUCCGGGAGAGGGAUGCGGAAUUCCAGGUGAAGCGGUGAAAUGCGUAGAUAUCUGGAGGAACACCGGUGGCGAAGGCGGCAUCCUGGACCGGCAUUGACGCUGAGGCGCGAAAGCCAGGGGAGCAAACGGGAUUAGAUACCCUGGUAG